rnacentral:rRNA from 1 species
GACGAACGCUGGCGGCGUGCUUAACACAUGCAAGUCGAACGGAAAGGCCCUGCUUUUGUGGGGUGCUCGAGUGGCGAACGGGUGAGUAACACGUGAGUAACCUGCCCUUGACUUUGGGAUAACUUCAGGAAACUGGGGCUAAUACCGGAUAUGAGCUCCUGCUGCAUGGUGGGGGUUGGAAAGUUUCGGCGGUUGGGGAUGGACUCGCGGCUUAUCAGCUUGUUGGUGGGGUAGUGGCUUACCAAGGCUUUGACGGGUAGCCGGCCUGAGAGGGUGACCGGCCACAUUGGGACUGAGAUACGGCCCAGACUCCUACGGGAGGCAGCAGUGGGGAAUAUUGCACAAUGGGCGGAAGCCUGAUGCAGCAACGCCGCGUGCGGGAUGACGGCCUUCGGGUUGUAAACCGCUUUCGCCUGUGACGAAGCGUGAGUGACGGUAAUGGGUGAAGAAGCACCGGCUAACUACGUG